AUGGUGUCUACAUCCAUCUACUUGUGAUACGAUACGACAAUUAAAUUGGAAUAAUCCUCUCCUCCUCCCUCUUUGUUUCUCUCUCUCUCUCUCUCUGUAGAAAAAUGAGAGCAGAGCUUUGAAAGAGGCGUGUGUUUGUGAACGACUUAAUGGCGUUCCACGACCAUCUCUCCCAAGAAAUGGCUCUCCACCACUUUACCGACCAGCACCUGACCGACAACACGGCCGUUCUCCGGGGGAUACUGCCGGAGCAGCUUCAGCACUCCUCCCCGGACGCCGCCGGGAAGACGCAGGGUCUUGCGGGCGGAGGCGGCGGAGGAGCUGCACCGACGUGGCUUAACAGCGCGAUUCUCCGCCACGCGAACUCGGACUCGUCGGCGUCGAACCAGUGGCUCUCCCGGCCGGUGCACGGCGAGGGGGACGAGGUUCAGGCGAUGAAUCAGGAGAAGAAGGCGGGCCGGAGGAGCGAUAGCGACGAGGAGAGCGAUUGGCAGAGCGCCAAAUGCAAGGCCGACAUAUUGGCGCAUCCUCUGUACGAGCAGCUGCUAUCGGCGCAUGUUCAGUGCCUUCGCAUCGCCACGCCGGUCGAUCAGCUGCCGAGGAUCGAUGCGCAGCUCGCUCAGUCGCAGCAUGUGGUGGCUAAGUACUCUGUUCUCGGACAUGGCAAUCAGACUCUGGACGACAAGGACCUGGACCAGUUCAUGACACAUUAUGUUCUGUUACUCUCUUCCUUCAAAGAACAAUUGCAACAACACGUCCGUGUCCAUGCAAUGGAAGCAGUUAUGGCUUGUUGGGAGCUCGAACAGUCUCUGCUAAGUUUAACAGGCGUAGCACCAGGAGAAGGCUCAGGUGCAACUAUGUCAGACGAUGAUGAUGACCAAGCAGAUAGUGACACCAACUUGUUCGACGGAAACCUGGAUGGACCAGACAGCAUGGGUUUUGGUCCUCUUGUCCCAACUGAAAAUGAAAGGUCGCUGAUGGAACGGGUGAGGCAAGAGUUAAAGCAUGAGCUAAAACAGGGUUACAAGGACAAGAUUGUGGAUAUCAGAGAGGAAAUUCUUCGAAAAAGGAGAGCAGGAAAGCUGCCGGGUGACACCACAUCCCUUUUGAAAGCCUGGUGGCAGUCACAUUCGAAGUGGCCUUAUCCAACAGAAGAAGAUAAGGCCAGAUUGGUGCAAGAAACAGGUUUGCAACUAAAGCAAAUUAAUAAUUGGUUCAUCAACCAAAGGAAAAGGAACUGGCACAGUAACCCUUCAUCUUCUUCAACUCCAAAGAGCAAACGCAAGAAAAGUAAUGCAGGUGAGCCAAGCAACGAACGCUUCAUGUAAAAAGGGACUCAAAACCCGAGCAUCAUCUCUUAUUUAUUCUGAAAACUGGAUGGAGUAAAGCAUCACACGCUACAAAGGUCAACUCAUAGUAGAAGAAAAUCAAUUGGCGUAACAAAGAAUUGAGGCCUCGUUUGGCCGGACCAAAACAUCAAGAAAAUGGCUGCCACGCCAGCAGAUUUCAUCAGAAGAGCAGCAUCGGAACAUGGUGGAAACGGAACGGGAUCCAGAAAUUAUUUUCCUCUGCAAUAGUUAACGUGAGCACUCAUAAAUGAUCCAAAACAAAUGGUCAAAGUGGAUGGAGCCAAAAAAAGUUACAUAAGUAGCUACCGAACAGUGAAGUACAAGAUGAAUGAUUUAACUAACCCAUUAUUUUGGAACUGAUUACUUAACUAAAUUGGAACAAACGUGUAGUAAGCCUAUGAACUGGCAUAUUCAUUAUUUAUCACAUUACAUUCAUGUAUUUUUCUUUUUCUUUCUUUUGCUUCUUAACGAUGCUUCCAAGUUGAUGAAAA